rnacentral:tRNA from 1 species
GCCCUUGUAGCUCAGGCGGAUAGAGCGGUGGCCUCCGGAGCCACAGGCGGGGGUUCGAGUCCCUCCAAGGGCGCCA